rnacentral:rRNA from 1 species
AUGGGAAACAAUAAAGCUACUGACCUAUUCAAUUCCAUCAUCAAUACUCUAGCCCUUCGAGAAAUACACAUUAGUGGGGGUAAGUAUACAUGGACCAACAAUCAGGCUCACCCCACCGUGGAAAAGCUAGAUCGCAUCCUGAUGUCCGAAAGUUGGGAAGAUGCUUUCCCAAUGGUUUCUGUGAGGAAAUUAGUUCAAGAAAUCUCUGACCAU